GGGUGUCAACAAUGUAUGGGGGGAGCUCGAUACCUACGGGGGCCAAAACAAAUGUGGCCAUGUAUAAUCUGAAAGACUUUUAGUAAAAGUAGUAGAAUUCAGGGCGCAUAUACCGAAAAUUAUUACUGAGUUUUUUACUAAUAUAAAAAAUAAAACAAAGUCUUUGUUAGAUAAAUUAAACAUUUAUAUAAUUAUCAUUUUUUUUGGUAAGCCAAUUAUUUAAAAAAUACAUAAACUUAAUUUUUGGAAAUAAAUAUAUAUUAAUAUACUGGCAACCCUAUCCCUUGAUGUCUGUCACUGUCAUUUCAAAAUGGCGGCGCCUACGCAAUUACGCAUCGGUGUUGAUUUUAUUUCGUGAAUAUUCCUUACCGUAUCGUCGAGUUGAGCUGCUGUUCCUCCGAUAACGUGCAGAAUAUCAUCAUUUUUUAGUGAUUUUCGAGACAGCGACUCUUUUUCGUGGUGUUUUGUGAGGCAGUGACUCUUUAUGUGCUACGAUGUCGGAUAAGGAGAACAAACGGAAAUGUUUUAAAUGCGGCUCUUCACCCGCUGAAGACGGCAUUAAAUUGUUCCGAGCUCUUAAGCCUGGCACCAAUAACCUAGUUCGUUGUGAGCAAUGGGCACAGUACAUGUACCCUGGAAGAAAUGUUAACUCUGUAGAAUUUCUGAAAAAACUCUACAAUGAGCACAGGAUGCUUUGUUCAAAAAGAGGAUUUUACGGAUCUGACUCGAAAAUAUUUAUUAAGGACUGCAGUCCCCAGAGACAUUGAGCAACAUGUGCCUAUCUUCGUGGCAAGUCAGCCAGGUACUUCCGGAGUACAUAGCCAGGUACUAACAAACAUCACAAACCAGCCUGCUCAUGGAACAAUCGAGCAACAGGAGCAGGGUCCAGAAAACCUAAGACGAUGAGACGACCAAUGAGUAUGUGUACGAACGACGAAAAUUGAAAUUGAGUUUUAUGUGUAAACAUUAAAGACGUGGCAAGCGGUAAUAUCGCACGUUGUUUCUCCGGUGUAAAUCAAGCAUAAUACUGUUUGUUCUGGAAUGAUUUGAUUAAGGAGGCUUUUUCUUUGUGUUGGUCGUAGUGGUCCUAACAGCCAGUACGACCUGGGGCUUAUUUCUAGAAACUUACAAGUCACAAGUUACAAAUGUGUAACCAUACUAACCCUUAAAUUUCACAAUUACUACGCGUGACCAUGGUUACACACCUUUAGUUACAAGA